CCUACGGGUGGCUGCAGUGAGGAAUAUUGGUCAAUGGACGAAAGUCUGAACCAGCCAUGCCGCGUGCAGGAAGACGGCACUAUGAGUUGUAAACUGCUUUUGUACAAGGGUAAACCUGAAUACGUGUAUUCAGCUGAAAGUACUGUACGAAUAAGGAUCGGCUAACUCCGUGCCAGCAGCCGCGGUAAUACGGCGGAUCCAAGCGUUAUCCGGAUUUCUUGGGUUUAAAGGGUGCGUAGGCGGAUUGAUAAGUUAGAGGUGAAAUGUCCGGGCUCAACUCGGGAACUGCCUCUAAUACUGUUGAGCUAGAGAGUAGAUGCGGUAGGCGGAAUGUAUGGUGUAGCGGUGAAAUGCUUAGAGAUCAUACAGAACACCGAUUGCGAAGGCAGCUUACCAAUCUAUAUCUGACGUUGAGGCACGAAAGCGUGGGGAGCAAACAGGAUUAGAUACCUGGGUAGUC
rnacentral:rRNA from 1 species